AAACUCAAAGGAAUUGACGGGGACCCGCACAAGCGGUGAAUGAUGUGGUUUAAUUCGAUGCAACGCGAAAAACUUACCUACCCUUGACAUGUCAAGAAUUUUGCAGAGAUGUGAAAGUGCUCGAAAGAGAACUUGAACACAGGUGCUGCAUGGCCGUCGUCAGCUCGUGUCGUGAGAUGUUGGGUUAAGUCCCGCAACGAGCGCAACCCUUGUCAUUAGUUGCUACCGCAAGGAGCACUCUAAUGAGACUGCCGGUGACAAACCGGAGGAGGUGGGGAUGACGUCAGGUCCCUCAUGGCCCUUAUGGGUAGGGCUACACACGUCAUACAAUGGCCGGUACAGAGGGCUGCCAACCCGCGGAGGGGGAGCCAAUCCCAAGAAAACCGGUCGUAGUCCGGAUCGUAGUCUGCAACUCGACUGCGUGAAGUCGGAAUCGCUAGUAAUCGCGGAUCAGCAUGCCGCGGUGAAUACGUUCCCGGGCCUU
rnacentral:rRNA from 1 species